CUCAACAAUAUUCGGGAACAAUUUUAAACUUGUUUGUUUACAUAGGACACGGUGCCUUUUCUAAAAAAAUAAGCACCAUAGGCACAUCAAAGUAUAUUAAUGAAUUGCCAUAUAAUUUAAAUGUUAUUAUCGGAUAACAAGGAUUUGAACUUCGUAUAGGAAUACUUUUGGUUUGCAGAACGCCCGUUUCUGUGUCAGGAAUUGUUGGAACAAGAUCAAAUUGUGGACCUGUACGCAAACAUUCGUGAGAUAGCCUGGCCUAAAGAAGUGACAGAAGAAUGCACAGAGGUUUGCCAAGAUGG